GGAAUAGUUUACAAACAUGAAAGCAAAAGCCAGUUUCAAAUCUUCCUUAUAGUAGCACCUUAGAUUCAGCUCCCAGCUACUCUGGCAUUACCCACAAAGGUCAAGACACGGAGUCCUAAGACAUCAUACUAGGCUCUAAGACUGUUGCAUAAGAAGAAGGAUGAGGAGAAGAUGGGGAGGAAUUGGAAAAACCAGUUGGACGCGGAAGUAGACAGUAAAACUUCUCCACUUCCCAGAUCUACAUUUCAGCAAGUAUUCUGUCUCAGAGGAAAAUAUUCAGAUUUUAGAGACAGCGAUUCUAGUUCCUGUGCUUAGUUUGGGGAGGGAUACAGCAAUAUUGUGAUGAUAGUGCUGAUAUUGAUUAUGGUGGUGAUGUGAUCGAAAACUGUUUUUCUCUAAUGCUAACUGAUAGUUUAAGUCUCUGCAUAGUCUGUUGGUGUUUUACAAGUGGUUUGAUAUACAUGUCAGAUUAGCUACACACUCCCAUAUUGAAAGAAAAAUGGUCAAAUAUAAGAACAAGACUAUAAACGUUCAAGUCUCAA
rnacentral:lncRNA from 1 species